UCUCCCAUAGCUCAGUUGGCUAGAGCGUCUGACUGUUAUAGGGUCGUUUCCCUGGUUUCCCAGGAGCGUGUCCACCAACGGUCAUCAGGAGGUCGUAAGUUCGAGCCUUACUGGGAGAG